GGAGGCAGCAGUGGGGAAUUUUGGACAAUGGGCGAAAGCNUGAUCCAGCAAUGCCGCGUGAGUGAAGAAGGCCUUCGGGUUGUAAAGCUCUUUUGUCAGGGAAGAAACGGUGAGAGUUAAUAUCUAUUGCUAAUGACGGUACCUGAAGAAUAAGCACCGGCUAAUUACGUGCCAGCAGCCGCGGUAAUACGUAGGGUGCAAGCGUUAAUCGGAAUUACUGGGCGUAAAGCGUGCGCAGGCGGUUUUGUAAGUCUGAUGUGAAAUCCCCGGGCUCAACCUGGGAAUUGCAUUGGAGACUGCAAGGCUAGAAUCUGGCAGAGGGGGGUAGAAUUCCACGUGUAGCAGUGAAAUGCGUAGAUAUGUGGAGGAACACCGAUGGGGAAGGCAGCCCCCUGGGUCAAGAUUGACGCUCAUGCACGAAAGCGUGGGGAGCAAACAGGAUUAGAUACCCUGGUAGUCCACGCCCUAAACGAUGUCUACUA
rnacentral:rRNA from 1 species